UACGUGAGGGGCGAACGUUGUUCGGUGUCACUGGGCUUAAAGGGUGCGUAGGUGGUUGCGUAAGUAACGUGUGAAAUCCCUCGGCUUACCCGGGGAAUUGCGCGUUAUACUGCGUGACUUGAGGAUUUCAGGGGAAUGGGGAACUCCAGGUGUAGCGGUGAAAUGCGCAGAUAUCUGGGGGAAGGCCGGCGGCGAAGGCGCAUUCUGGGAAAUUCCUGACACUGAGGCACGAAAGCGUGGGGAGCAAACAGG
rnacentral:rRNA from 1 species